rnacentral:rRNA from 1 species
AACGAACGCUGGCGGCAGGCUUAACACAUGCAAGUCGAGCGCCCCGCAAGGGGAGCGGCAGACGGGUGAGUAACGCGUGGGAACGUACCCUUUGCUACGGAAUAGCUCCGGGAAACUAGAAUUAAUACCGCAUGUGCCCUAUGGGGGAAAGAUUUAUCGGCAAAGGAUCGGCCCGCGUUGGAUUAGCUAGUUGGUGUGGUAAUGGCCUACCAAGGCGACGAUCCAUAGCUGGUCUGAGAGGAUGAUCAGCCACAUUGGGACUGAGACACGGCCCAAACUCCUACGGGAGGCAGCAGUGGGGAAUAUUGGACAAUGGGCGCAAGCCUGAUCCAGCCAUGCCGCGUGAGUGAUGAAGGCCUUAGGGUUGUAAAGCUCUUUCACCGGAGAAGAUAAUGACGGUAUCCGGAGAAGAAGCCCCGGCUAACUUCGUGCCAGCAGCAGCCGCAGUAA